ACGGGAGGCAGCAGUGGGGGAUAUUGCACAAUGGGCGAAAGCCUGAUGCAGCAAUGCCGCGUGAGGGAAGAAGGUUUUCGGAUUGUAAACCUCUGUCCCUGAUGACGAAGACAGUGACGGUAAUCAGGGAGGAAGCCACGGCUAACUACGUGCCAGCAGCCGCGGUAAUACGUAGGUGGCAAGCGUUGUCCGGAAUUACUGGGUGUAAAGGGAGCGCAGGCGGGAAGAUAAGUCAGCGGUGAAAACUAUGGGCUCAACCCAUAGACUGCCGUUGAAACUGUUUUUCUUGAGUGAAGUAGAGGCAGGCGGAAUUCCGAGUGUAGCGGUGAAAUGCGUAGAUAUUCGGAGGAACACCAGUGGCGAAGGCGGCCUGCUGGGCUUUUACUGACGCUGAGGCUCGAAAGUGUGGGGAGCAAACAGGAUUAGAUACCCUGGUA
rnacentral:rRNA from 2 species